GUACAUGCCUAAUUUUUCGGGCCUCUGGUGCUGCACUGUGGUUUCAAAAACCAAACCAAAAAAAAGGCACAUAACAGGGAUUAAACUGAUAAGAAUAAUACCACUUUACACACCUUAUAAUAACGCAGAGAGAGGCAACGCAGAGAGAGGAGUUUGAAGAAGAGGAGUCAGAGGAGGAAGGUGGCUUUGAGGAGGUGGAAGACCAAACACAGCAGGCGUCCCAGGGGGCUUGUUGUCACCUUUCGGGGACCCGUGGUGUUGUACGUGGCUGGGUGGAGGAAG